rnacentral:rRNA from 1 species
UGCAGUCGAACGAGAAGCUUCUUCGGAAGUGAUUAAAGUGGCGCACGGGUGAGUAACGCGUAGACAAUCUGCCCUUCAGUCCGGGACAACUUUCCGAAAGGGGAGCUAAUACCGGAUAACAAUGUUUGACAUAAGUUGAAUAUUUGAAAGCUCCGGCGCUGAUGGAUGAGUCUGCGUCCCAUUAGCUUGUUGGUGCGGUAGCGGCGCACCAAGGCCACGAUGGGUAGCGGGUUUGAGAGGACGAUCCGCCACACUGGAACUGAGACACGGUCCAGACUCCUACGGGAGGCAGCAGUGGGGAAUAUUGCACAAUGGAGGAAACUCUGAUGCAGCAAUGCCGCGUGAGUGAAGAAGGCCCUUGGGUCGUAAAGCUCUUUUAUGGGGGAAGAUGAUGACGGUACCCCAGGAAUAGGCACCGGCUAACUACGUGCCAGCAGCCGCGGUAAUACGUAGGGUGCGAGCGUUGUUCGGAAUUACUGGGCGUAAAGGGCGCGCAGGCGGAGGUGCAAGUCGGAGGUGAAAGCCCGGGGCUCAACCCCGGAGGGUCUUUCGAAACUGCAUCUCUAGAGAGGGUCAGGGGCCGGCAGAAUUCCUGGUGUAGAGGUGAAAUUCGUAGAUAUCAGGAGGAAUACCGGUGGCGAAAGCGGCCGGCUGGGGCCACUCUGACGCUGAGGCGCGAAAGCGUGGGGAGCAAACAGGAUUAGAUACCCUGGUAGUCCACGCCGUAAACGAUGAGCACUGGAC